GCUUUCCGGGUAAACAGGGAUUUGGUUAAAAUCAGGAAAAGGAGCCUGAGAACGGCUACUACAUCUACGGAAGGCAGCAGGCGCGUAAUUACCCAUCCUGACUCUCGGAGGCGGUGACAGAUAUAACAACGCAAUUUCAUUGUGAUUGUAGUGAGGGUAUUCCAAACCGAACCACUAGUACGAUUAGAGGGCAAGUCUGGUGCCAGCAGCCGCGGUAAUUCCAGCUCUAAUAGCGUAUAUUAAAGUUGCUGCAGUUAAAAAGCUCGUAGUUGGAUUUCAAGGAUUGUGUACUCUCUCAGAGUAUGCACCCUACUAGUCUUUUACUUGUUACUGUGAGAAAAUUAGAGUGUUUAAAGCAGGCUAUUGCAAGAAUACAUUAGCAUGGAAUAACGAAUGUAUCUAGAAUCUUGGUUAAUUCUAGGUUUCGAUUAUAGAGACAGUUGGGGGCACCAGCCCAACCGCGACGUGAAAUCCUGGAUUGUUAAGACUAACGUAUGCUAAAGCAUUUGCCAAGGAUGUUUCUUAUCAGACGAAAGAUAGGGGAUCCAAGACAUCAGAUACUGUCGUAGUCUAUCUAUAACUAUGCCGACUAGGAUUGGAAUGGAACUCACAUUUCAGUACUUAUGAAAAUCAAGUCUUUGGGUCUGGGGGAGUAUGUCGCAGACUGAACUAAAAUCUGACGAUGGCACACCAGAUGGAGCUGCGCUAUCUGACUACACGGGAACUACAGUCAAACUAGAAGAUCGACGAUGAUAGCCUUUCUGAUCUUGGUGGGUGCCAUGCGUCUAUGGGGAUGAUUGCUGUA
rnacentral:rRNA from 1 species